UGUUUCGGCUAGGGGGCCAUCCCGGCUUACCAACCCGAUGCAAACUGCGAAUACCGGAGAAUGUUAUCACGGGAGACACACGGCGGGUGCUAACGUCCGUCGUGAAGAGGGAAACAACCCAGACCGCCAGCUAAGGUCCCAAAGUCAUGGUUAAGUGGGAAACGAUGUGGGAAGGCCCAGACAGCCAGGAUGUUGGCUUAGAAGCAGCCAUCAUUUAAAGAAAGCGUAAUAGCUCACUGGUCGAGUCGGCCUGCGCGGAAGAUGUAACGGGGCUAAACCAUGCACCGAAGCUGCGGCAGCGACACUGUGUGUUGUUGGGUAGGGGAGCGUUCUGUAAGCCUGUGAAGGUGUGCUGUGAGGCAUGCUGGAGGUAUCAGAAGUGCGAAUGCUGACAUAAGUAACGAUAAAGCGGGUGAAAAGCCCGCUCGCCGGAAGACCAAGGGUUCCUGUCCAACGUUAAUCGGGGCAGGGUGAGUCGACCCCUAAGGCGAGGCCGAAAGGCGUAGUCGAUGGGAAACGGGUUAAUAUUCCCGUACUUGGUGUUACUGCGAAGGGGGGACGGAGAAGGCUAUGUUGGCCGGGCGACGGUUGUCCCGGUUUAAGCGUGUAGGUGUGUGUUCCAGGUAAAUCCGGUUCACUUUAACACUGAGGCGUGAUGACGAGGCACUACGGUGCUGAAGCAACAAAUGCCCUGCUUCCAGGAAAAGCCUCUAAGCAUCAGGUAACAUCAAAUCGUACCCCAAACCGACACAGGUGGUCAGGUAGAGAAUACCAAGGCGCUUGAGAGAACUCGGGUGAAGGAACUAGGCAAAAUGGUGCCGUAACUUCGGGAGAAGGCACGCUGACACGUAGGUGAAGUGAUUUACUCACGGAGCUGAAGUCAGUCGAAGAUACCAGCUGGCUGCAACUGUUUAUUAAAAACACAGCACUGUGCAAACACGAAAGUGGACGUAUACGGUGUGACGCCUGCCCGGUGCCGGAAGGUUAAUUGAUGGGGUCAGCGCAAGCGAAGCUCCUGAUCGAAGCCCCGGUAAACGGCGGCCGUAACUAUAACGGUCCUAAGGUAGCGAAAUUCCUUGUCGGGUAAGUUCCGACCUGCACGAAUGGCGUAAUGAUGGCCAGGCUGUCUCCACCCGAGACUCAGUGAAAUUGAACUCGCUGUGAAGAUGCAGUGUACCCGCGGCAAGACGGAAAGACCC
rnacentral:rRNA from 1 species